UACAGAGGGUGCAAGCGUUGUUCGGAAUUAUUGGGCGUAAAGAGCGUGUAGGCGGCUAUACAGGUCCGCUGUGAAAACUCGAGGCUCAACCUCGAGACGUCGGUGGAAACCGUAUGGCUAGAGUCCGGAAGAGGAGAGUGGAAUUCCUGGUGUAGCGGUGAAAUGCGCAGAUAUCAGGAAGAACACCCGUGGCGAAGGCGGCUCUCUGGGACGGUACUGACGCUGAGACGCGAAAGCGUGGGGAGCGAACAGG
rnacentral:rRNA from 1 species